CUACAUGAAGCUGGAAUCGCUAGUAAUCGCGAAUCAGAAUGUCGCGGUGAAUACGUUCCCGGGUCUUGUACACACCGCCCGUCACACCAUGGGAGUCGGAAAUGCCCGAAGCCUGUGACCCAACCGAGAGGAGGGAGCAGUCGAAGGUGGAGCCGGUGACUGGGGUGAAGUCGUAACAAGGUACC
rnacentral:rRNA from 1 species